UAGGGAAUCUUCGGGCAAUGGGGGCAACCCUGACCGAGCAACGCCGCGUGAGUGAAGAAGGUUUUCGGAUCGUAAAGCNCUGUUGUAAGUCAAGAACGGGUGUGAGAGUGGAAAGUUCACACUGUGACGGUAGCUUACCAGAAAGGGACGGCUAACUACGUGCCAGCAGCCGCGGUAAUACGUAGGUCCCCGAGCGUUGUCCGGAUUUAUUGGGCGUAAAGCGAGCGCAGGCGGUUUGAUAAGUCUGAAGUUAAAGGCUGUGGCUCAACCAUAGUCGCUUUGGAAACUGUCAAACUUGAGUGCAGAAGGGGGAGAGUGG
rnacentral:rRNA from 1 species